AUGGUUAAUGAAGGCACUGUCCUGGGUCAUAAAAUUUCUGAAAGAGGUAUUGGAUUGGACAAAGCUAAGGUUGAUGCCAUUGAGAAAAUGCCAUGUCCUAAAUAUAUAAAAGGACAUUACUUUUGGGAUGACCCACAUCUUUAUAAAGGAGUAGAUGGUAUUAUUAGACGUUGUGUACCUGAGCAUGAACAGGGACAAAUCCUACGGAAAUGUCACUCUGAAGCUUAUGGAGGGCAUCAUGCUGGAAAUAGAACUGCUCACAAGGUAUUGCAAUCUUAUUUUAUUGGCCUACUCUCUUCAAGGAUGUCCAUAAGUUCGUCUUAUCUUGUGACGAAUGUCAAAGAAUAG
rnacentral:rRNA from 1 species